CGACGUCUUCGGGGCGGGGUGCAAUUCCCCACCGGCGGUAAAGCCCGCGAGCGCUUCGGCGCAGAUCUGGUGUAACUCCAGGGCCGACGGUUAAAGUCCGGAUGAAAGAAGAUGUGC
rnacentral:ncRNA from 2 species